GAAUGGUCCAGAAGGUUCCAUGAGGUCCCCAGGGCUGUGGGAAAGGUCCAGAGGGUUCCGUGAGGUCCCCAGGACUAUGGAAAGGUCCAGAAGGUUCCAUGAGGUCCCCAGGGCUGUGGGAAAGGUCCAGAGGGUUCCGUGAGGUCCCCAGGGCUGUGGGAAAGGUCCAGAAGGUUCCACCAGGUCCCAGGGCUGUGGGAAUGGUCCAGAAGGUUCCAUGAGGUCCCCAGGGCUGUGGGAAUGGUCCGGAAGGUUCCAUGAGGUCCCUAAGGCUGUGGGAAUGGUCCAGAAGGUUCCACCAGGUCCCAGGACUAUGGAAAGGUCCAGAAGGUUCCACCAGGUCCCCAGGGCUGUGGGAAUGGUCCGGAAGGUUCCAUGAGGUCCCCAGGGCUGUGGGAAUGGUCCAGAAGGUUCCACCAGGUCCCAGGACUAUGGAAAGGUCCAGAAGGUGCCACCAGGUCCCUAGGGCUGUGGAACGGUCCAGAAGGUUCCGUGAGGUCCCUAAGGCUGUGGGAAUGGUCCAGAAGGUUCCGUGAGGUCCCCAGGACUGUGGGAAUGGUCCAGAAGGUUCCGUGAGGUCCCCAGGGCUGUGGGAAAGGUCCAGAAGGUGCCAGCAGGUCCCCAGGGCUGUGGAAUGGUCCAGAAGGUUCCGUGAGGUCCCCAGGACUAUGGAAUGGUCCAGAGGGUUCCAUGAGGUCCCCAGGGCUGUGGAAUGGUCCAGAAGGUUCUCUGAGGUCCCCAGGGCUGUGGAAUGGUCCAGAAGGUUCUGUCAGGUCCCCAGGGCUGUGGGAAAGGUCCAGAAGGUUCUGUGAGGUCCCCAGGGCUGUGGGAAUGGUCCAGAAGGUUCUGUGAGGUCCCCAGGGCUGUGGGAAGGGUCCAGAAGGUUCCGUGAGGUCCCCAGGGCUGUGGGAAUGGUCCAGAAGGUUCCGUGAGGUCCCUAAGGUUGUGGGAAAGGUCCAGAAGGUUCCACCAGGUCCCAGGGCUGUGGGAAUGGUCCAGAAGGUUCUGUGAGGUCCCCAGGGCUGUGGGAAUGGUCCAGAAGGUUCCACCAGGUCCCCAGGGCUGUGGGAAUGGUCCAGAAGGUUCUGUGAGGUCCCCAGGACUAUGGAAUGGUCCAGAAGGUUCCGUGAGGUCCCUAAGGCUGUGGGAAAGGUCCAGAAGGUUCCACCAGGUUCCCAGGGCUAUGGAAUGGUCCAGAGGGUUCCAUGAGGUCCCCAGGACUAUGGAAAGGUCCAGAAGGUUCCACCAGGUUCCCCAGAACUAUGGAAUGGUCCAGAAGGUUCUGUGAGGUCCCCAGGACUAUGGAAAGGUCCAGAAGGUGCCACCAGGUUCCCCAGAACUAUGGAAUGGUCCAGAAGGUUCUGUGAGGUCCCCAGGACUAUGGAAAGGUCCAGAAGGUGCCACCAGGUCCCCAGGUCUCCUUCUGGGAAGGGGUUGAGGUCUCAUCUCCUCGUUGAAGGCCGUCAGGAGGAGGGGGUGGAUGAGGAGGGGGAUGAGGGUGGGAUCGGUGGGAUCGGCAGGAGAUGGAUGGUGUUGGGGGGGGGGAGGUGACAAUGGAAGUGGUGACCCCCCUCAAAACCCGGGACACCCCUGGCUGAGGCCCCCACGGAGCCGAGGGGGCUCCGGGACUCCGCGUCGGGCGGCUCCUCCGAGGCCCUCGGGAGGG